UACGUAGGGGGCAAGCGUUGUCCGGAUUUAUUGGGCGUAAAGAGCGUGUAGGCGGCCAGGUAGGUCUGCUGUGAAAACUCGAGGCUUAACCUCGAGCUGUCGGCGGAAACCAUCUGGCUAGAGUCCGGAAGAGGUUGGUGGAAUUGCGAGUGUAGAGGUGAAAUUCGUAGAUAUUCGCAAGAACACCGGUGGCGAAGGCGGCCAACUGGUCCGGAUCUGACGCUGAGGCGCGAAAGCGUGGGGAGCAAACAGG
rnacentral:rRNA from 1 species